rnacentral:rRNA from 1 species
AUCUUUUCUUGUGUUUUAUUAGAGAUUUGACCUGCCCAAUGAAAAUUUUAAUGGCCGCGGUAUUUUGACCGUGCAAAGGUAGCAUAAUCAUUAGUUUAUUAAUUGUGGACUUGUAUGAAAGGUUGGACGAGAUAAUUACUGUCUCAUAUUUAUUUAUUGAAUUUGAUUUUUUAGUUAAAAAGCUUAAAUUUUUUUGUUGGACGAGAAGACCCUAUAGAUCUUUAUUAUUUAAUAUAUAUAUAUUUAUUGGUUUAUUUAUUUAUAUUGUAUUUUAUUAUUUUGUUGGGGUGAUAUGGAGAUAAAUGUAACUCUUUAAUUUAUUUACAAUGAUUUUUGUUUUAUUGACCUUAUAUUAAUGUUUAGAAGAUAUAGAUACCUUAGGGAUAACAGCGUAAUUUUUUUUGAGAGUUCAUAUCGACAAUAAAGAUUGCGACCUCGAUGUUGGAUUAAGAUUAAUAUAAGGUGUAGGUGCUUUAUAUAUUGAGUCUGUUCGACUUUUAAUUUCUUACAUGAUC